rnacentral:lncRNA from 1 species
CUGAUACUGAGGAUUGCCAGAGAGUCCUAUUCUCAUUUUUAGCUUCCUUCCCAGGUCAGGUGCAAGAGGAUUCACUUCUUCUGGUGGUGAAAAGGUGAUAGGGCACAUGAGUAAGAGAAGACAUCCCUGGGCAAAAUUGAGGUUCACUUCAAAUCAAACUGACUGACCUGCUGCCAAAAUUUGUGAAUGAUUUUACCUGACCUUGGGAAGUGGAUUAGACCAUGGUUGACUCAGGCCCUUCCACUCUCAUUUUGUUUGGUGAUCUGCCUCCCAAGUUUAAUGGGGCCUGUCAAAGUGGUUUACCUUAAAUCAUAGCAGAAGAGCUUCAGAGAUCAUGCCUCUGGCCUGCUGUCAAGUCUUAUAGAAGAAACUUGGAUUCUGGGCCUUGAGAAUGGUUCUUACCCAAUUCCUGAGACUUAGGCCACCAUGUUUUUUUGUACAGGAAGCCUGGCUUCCCAGCGAACACAAGCAUGAGUGCCAUCGUCUCCACCAACACAGGAUAAUGACGUGGAUUCAUCUGAUGAAAACCUUCAAGAAGCUUUUGGAAAAAAGAUGUGUUUUAGUGCAGAAUCUUGGCCUUCUGACCUUAAGAUGGAGAGAACCUGAGGAAGAAAGUGCAAGAUGUAUUUGGAAAUCGUAG